GCUCAAUUGGCCAAGUGGCAAGGCGUCGCACUCGUAGCUUCUAUGGUAUGCGAAGAUCUCCAGUUCGAUCCUGGAAUUGAGCC